CGAUCCAGUGGAAAAUCGGUUGGAGAAAUUUAAAAGCUGACGCGGGGAGUAACCCAGGAAGGCAUUUCAAUGAUCAGAGUCACAUGACCUUGGAGUGACCAAUCAGAACUUCACAAACAAGACUGCUUCUUGAGGCAGUGAUGAUGCAAGGAUGCCGAAGCCCAUUAUUCCAGGCAACUACACGGAGUCAAGAGGUCAUUGGUGUGGCGGAGCAUCUAAGUGGCUCCAGAGAAGGGCACAAGUCACAGCUCCUGGGGAGACAGUCCCCAAGAUAAGAUUUUCACUUCGUCCUGCCCCCUGCUUUCUCUUUUUACCCUUCCUUUGAUGCUAUAAGCUACCUGUUACCUUUCCAAUAAUAUUCUCUUCUGCUUGUGUUACCCAGGGAUAGUUUUCAUCCCUUGAAAAGAGAAAAUUCAGUUAAAAUUCAGUUUCAUUUGCAUUUUAAAAAUAUCUCCCAGAUGCAAAAGUGUGGUCUAAUCACUCUCCCUUACUCCCAUCACAUAAACCAGCAGCAAGUCCUGUGGGCUCACCUUCAAAGUAGAUCUCAUAUCUAAUCAUGUCUCCUGGUAGUCGAAGCCCCCAUGUCUUCAAUGGACCCCUAAGAAAUUUUCUCUUUCUGCCCUUGUUGUACUUCUAUCCACCCUUUUAAAAAAUAAAAUCAAAACAUGUCACUCUCCCGCUUAAAACCCUCCAGCAUCUUCCCAGUCUUCCCCUUGCAACUAGAGGAAUUUGCAUAAUCUGUACUGUAUACAGAGCAGAUACCUCUGACCUCUGCUCACCUUUGGAAAUUACCUCCUACCACUCUCCUUCCUACUGUUCACUCUCUAGCACAACUGUGUCUCUCUCUUUCACUAACACAAAGGUCCAAAAAUUAUAGUCUAAGGGCCAAAUCUGGCUCACUGGUCACUUUCGUAAAGUUUUAUUAGAACACAACAUUCAGACCAUUAUUUAUAAAAUUGUCUGCAGCUACUUAAGACUUGAGUGGUUGCAACAGAAACUGUGAUUCACAAAGCCAAAAUAUUUAUGAUCUGAUUCUUUACAGAAAAAGUCUGCUAAAUUCCACCCUAACGCACCAGCCCAUUCCUGCCUCAGGGCCUUUGUGCUUCCUUUUCUGACUGUGUGGCUUCUUCUCAUCACUGAAGUCUCCUCUUCAAUGUCACCUUUUCAGAGAGGCCAUGUCUGAAGAGGAGGUAAACGAAAAUCCUCCCCCACAUCCUUAUUUUCUGGAUCAUAAACAUGAUUUUCAUUUCAAAA